GUCCUAGCCCUAAACGGUGCUCACUUGGUGUGGGGGAGUCGACCCCCCGUGCCGUAGCCAACGCGUUAAGUGAGCCGCCUGGGGAGUACGGCCGCAAGGCUAAAACUCAAAGAAAUUGACGGGGGCCCGGCACAAGCGGUGGAGCAUGUGGCUUAAUUCGAUGCAACGCGAAGAACCUUACCUGGCCUUGACAUUUCGCGUGAAAAGCCGGUGAAAGCCGGUGACGGCCCGAAAGGGUGCUGGGGCGAAACAGGUGCUGCAUGGUUGUCGU
rnacentral:rRNA from 1 species